rnacentral:lncRNA from 1 species
CUGUGGACUGAAAAGACAACAGAGAAGGAAAUUUCUGACGACGAAGACGAGGAAGAGAAGAAAGAUGCUGAGGAAGGAAAGGUUGAGGAUGUUGAUGAGAAGGAAGAGAAAGAAAAGAAGAAAAAGAAGAUCAAGGAGGUUUCUCAUGAGUGGUCAUUGGUCAACAAGCAGAAGCCCAUAUGGAUGAGGAAGCCAGAAGAAAUCACAAAAGAAGAAUAUGCUGCCUUCUAUAAGAGCUUGACAAAUGACUGGGAGGAGCAUCUGGCUGUGAAGCACUUCUCUGUGGAGGGUCAACUGGAGUUCAAGGCUGUUCUCUUUGUUCCUAAGAGGGCCCCCUUUGAUCUCUUUGACACCAAGAAGAAGCAAAACAACAUCAAGCUCUAUGUGCGCAGGGUGUUCAUCAUGGACAACUGCGAAGAGCUGAUCCCUGAGUGGCUGAGCUUCGUUAAGGGUAUUGUUGACUCUGAGGACCUUCCCCUCAAUAUCUCUCGUGAGACUCUUCAGCAGAACAAGAUCCUGAAGGUGAUCAGGAAGAACCUUGUGAAGAAGUGUGUUGAGCUCUUCUUUGAGAUUGCUGAGAACAAGGAGGACUACAACAAGUUUUACGAGGCUUUCUCCAAGAACCUCAAGCUUGGCAUCCACGAGGACUCGCAGAACAGGACCAAGAUCGCCGAGCUUCUGAGAUACCACUCCACCAAGAGUGGUGAUGAGCUGACCAGCCUCAAGGACUACGUGACCAGGAUGAAGGAGGGACAGAAUGACAUAUACUAUAUCACUGGUGAGAGCAAGAAGGCAGUGGAGAACUCCCCCUUCCUUGAGAAGCUGAAGAAGAGGGGCUAUGAGGUUCUGUACAUGGUUGAUGCCAUUGACGAGUAUGCUGUUGGUCAGCUCAAGGAGUUUGAGGGCAAGAAGCUUGUCUCUGCCACCAAGGAGGGUCUGAAGCUUGAUGAGACUGAGGACGAGAAGAAGAGGAAGGAGGAGCUGAAGGAGAAGUUUGAG